GAUGAACGCUGGCGGCGUGCCUAAUACAUGCAAGUCGAGCGAACAGACGAGGAGAUUGCUCCUCUGACGUUAGCGGCGGACGGGUGAGUAACACGUGGAUAACCUACCUAUAAGACUGGGAUAACUUCGGGAAACCGGAGCUAAUACCGGAUAAUAUAUUGAACCGCAUGGUUCAAUAGUGAAAGACGGUUUUGCUGUCACUUAUAGAUGGAUCCGCGCCGCAUUAGCUAGUUGGUAAGGUAACGGCUUACCAAGGCAACGAUGCGUAGCCGACCUGAGGGGGUGAUCGGCCACACUGGAACUGAGACACGGUCCAGACUCCUACGGGAGGCAGCAGUAGGGAAUCUUCCGCAAUGGGCGAAAGCUUGACGGAGCAACGCCGCGUGAGUGAUGAAGGUCUUCGGAUCGUAAAACUCUGUUAUUAGGGAAGAACAAAUGUGUAAGUAACUAUGCACGUCUUGACGGUACCUAAUCAGAAAGCCACGGCUAACUACGUG
rnacentral:rRNA from 1 species